CCCGACUGCUAUCAGAGUGGGACUAAGCCAUGCGAGUCAACAUAGCAAUAUGUGGCAUACGGCUCAGUAACACGUAGUCAACAUGCCCAGGGGACGUGGAUAACCUCGGGAAACUGAGGAUAAACCGCGAUAGGUCAUCACUUCUGGAAUGGGUAAUGACUUAAAUCUAUAUGGCCCCUGGAUUGGACUGCGGCCGAUCAGGCUGUUGGUGAGGUAAUGGCCCACCAAACCUGUAACCGGUACGGGCUCUGAGAGGAGGAGCCCGGAGAUGGGCACUGAGACAAGGGCCCAGGCCCUAUGGGGCGCAGCAGGCGCGAAACCUCUGCAAUAGGCGAAAGCUUGACAGGGUUACUCUGAGUGAUUUCCGUUAAGGAGAUCUUUUGGCACCUCUGAAAAUGGUGCAGAAUAAGGGGUGGGCAAGUCUGGUGU
rnacentral:rRNA from 1 species